rnacentral:tRNA from 1 species
GUCUUCGUGGUGUAGUGGUCAGCACGCUCGACACGUAUUCGAGAGGUCCGUGGUUCGAUUCCCGGUGAAGGCA